ensembl:lncRNA
AGAGGGGAUCCGCGAGGGCACAAGGUGGAAAGGUGACCCAAACCCUUCUGGUUUCCAAGGGUGUUUGCAGUGGUAGGAGGAAGAUUGCUUGGGUUGAACACCAAGAGUAUUUGUGCUUGUAAAUUCAAAAGCCUCGGCCGCCCCAGAAGCUGAAUUUGAACCUAGGACCCGAUGGUGUCGUGGGAUGCGCCGCCUCCCGCCCCGGAGUUAGCUACAAAGUUUAACUCUACAAUCGAAACGUGACUUCUGCAAUUUCCAAAACGGGAUCUCACCAGCGUCUCCCGGGGUGGGGAAGCGGGAUGGAAGCCCCAAAGUGAAGUGGGGGGGUGGGGUGAGGGGAAGAGCGGGGAAAUCAAUUGGGGGGAAAAAUACACGCGGGAUUAAAUAAACUAAGAGGCUCAGUGGGCGGAAUUCUGGAUCUGGGUUUUGAAACAGAGAGGGUCCCUCUACCUUUGGCCAUCUGGCUGUUUUAAGCUCUGCCCCAUGCUGUAUGAUUUUAGCUGAAAAUCUCUUCCGUUGCAGCUUUGCUUUUAUUGAAUUCAUCAAAAGCAAACUUUCCCUGAGUUUUUUUUUUUUUUUUUUUUUAAGAAGGCUAAAAUAAUACGCCGACCACUGUGACAUUCUACGCGCCCAGGCCAUUUUUCAUAACGCCGCGGAUCCGCUUUUGUGCCUCUGAGGCGGCUAAACAGAUGAAUAACGAGCAAAGUCUCCCGAAACCGCAGCUAGUUUGAUAGUUGUUUUCUGACAAGAGGGAAGAAAAGGCUGCAGCACUAAAGGAAGAAACAAAGUGUUAAAAGGAUUCUCAAAUGUAGUAUUGUGGCAGGUCGGGGGGUUCAUAAGCUGGUACUCUUACUUGGCUGCUAUGAUCCCAGCCCGCAGUUGCAGAGAGCUUCUCCUUAUCUCUUCUUCCAGAUUUGUCUCCAGGCUUCAGGAACACAAACUCCUGAGUCUAAAAUUUCCACCAGCAGGGUAUGAACCACUGCCUCCAGGCUGGGUAAACCCCCGCUCUUGCCCCCUAGCGGAGGGUUUGGCAGCGCAGCUGAAGCAGCAACCACCAGCGAUCACCUGCUGUGUGCCAAGUACUGUGGUGGAAGAAGAAAACAUCAAUAUCCCGAGGGAAUGGAGAUGUUUCUAUGGAAAACCUAGGAAUUUUAGUCCAUAACAGAUCUGGUGUAAAAAAAUCAAAGAGAUCAAAGGCAGCGCUCCCUGGAGUAUAGAUGCGUCUCUGAAUUAAAGAUGGACGAUGCAGACUACAAAGUACUUUUUUCUUCUUUAUUCAGUCUUCUGUUUCCAUUUCAAGGGAGGCGCUGGCCUCGUCAUAUCUGAACUACACCACCAUUUCGAACAAUGUCAUGAAGGGGAUAAAAGAGGGGCUGGGGGCGCCCAGAGCUCGGCUUCCUCUGCCCCAGUCAGGUUUCCCAACCAUCUUCUCCAGCGUUCUCAGUGAUGGCGUGGCCCGGCCCUACUCAUAAGAAGGAGUUCCCGGGAAGCCCCACCCCUCACCUCAAGUCUGUAGGGACACUUAGGAAAAGGGAGAUCCACGGAAAUCUGGGGAGAAGCAGUGGUCUUAGGCUGUCUUUUCGCCAGACCAAAUUAAGCUUGGGACAAUAUUAAAGACUGCCCAGCAGUGCUCCGGGCCCAGGAGUGGACUGGCAAGGCUGGGGGCACCCUUGGUGGUAGUGGUGGGAACCUGGGGACAGUCCCAAGAGUGGUCUUCGCAGAUGUGGGCUCCUGGAAGUUCUUCCAAGAGAGAGGCCUCAAAAGGGGGACACAUUCCUGGAGAGCGGGGAAGCAUCUCCUUGCACGUCUAAGAAACAAACUCUGGUUUCUAGGUACUCUGGAAAGAAAGACUCACUUCCACAUCCAGGGCAAAGUUUUUUUUUUUAAUAUUUUUAUUUUAAUCUCACCACUUCUGGCUGGUAAUAUGGCGAUCUAGUAACUGUUACUCUUUUAUUUAUUUAUUUUUAAAGUCAAAUUGAGAAGCUAGGGAUCAGGAUUCUCAAGUCAGUGAAGAGGCAAGGAAAGUAGCCGUCUGGCAGCAGCCUCUCAGCGAGCGUGUACUCCACGUGGCCAGACAAUUCCGUGGCCUCGCCAAGUGUAUGCGUGCCAGCGUGGGCGUCGGCCGCCCCCGCAGGCUCGCGCGGCUGCUUUGGGGCUGCUUCCAGACCUUGCUUGUGGCCGGGAAAUUAAAACAAUAAAUUUUCACAAGGGGGAGACUGUCCGCUUCCU